rnacentral:rRNA from 1 species
AGUGAACGCUGGCGGUAGGCCUAACACAUGCAAGUCGAACGGCAGCACAGUAAGAGCUUGCUCUUACGGGUGGCGAGUGGCGGAUGGGUGAGGAAUACAUCGGAAUCUACUUUUUCGUGGGGGAUAACGUAGGGAAACUUACGCUAAUACCGCAUACGACCUACGGGUGAAAGCAGGGGAUCAUCGGACCUUGCGCGAUUGAAUGAGCCGAUGUCGGAUUAGCUAGUUGGCGGGGUAAAGGCCCACCAAGGCGACGAUCCGUAGCUGGUCUGAGAGGAUGAUCAGCCACACUGGAACUGAGACACGGUCCAGACUCCUACGGGAGGCAGCAGUGGGGAAUAUUGGACAAUGGGCGCAAGCCUGAUCCAGCCAUACCGCGUGGGUGAAGAAGGCCUUCGGGUUGUAAAGCCCUUUUGUUGGGAAAGAAAAGCAGCAGGUUAAUACCCCGCUGUUCUGACGGUACCCAAAGAAUAAGCACCGGCUAACUUCGUG